AGUUCACAAGGGAAUGAUGUCUCCCUCAAAACCGCGCUGUUGCUGAUGACGUCUACUUUCGC
rnacentral:ncRNA from 1 species